AUUGAACGCUGGCGGCAUGCUUUACACAUGCAAGUCGAACGGUAACAGGCCUUCGGGUGCUGACGAGUGGCGAACGGGUGAGUAAUGCAUCGGGCGUACCCAGAGGUGGGGGAUAACGCAGCGAAAGCUGUGCUAAUACCGCAUGUGAUCUGAGGAUGAAAGCGGGGGACCGAGCAGCAAUGUUUGGCCUCGCGCCUUUGGAGCGGCCGAUGUCGGAUUAGCUAGUUGGUGGGGUAAAGGCCUACCAAGGCGACGAUCCGUAGCUGGUCUGAGAGGACGACCAGCCACACUGGGACUGAGACACGGCCCAGACUCCUACGGGAGGCAGCAGUGGGGAAUUUUGGACAAUGGGCGCAAGCCUGAUCCAGCAAUGCCGCGUGCGGGAAGAAGGCCUUCGGGUUGUAAACCGCUUUUGGCAGGAACGAAACGGUGUCCGCUAAUACCGGGCGCUAAUGACGGUACCUGCAGAAUAAGCACCGGCUAACUACGUG
rnacentral:rRNA from 1 species